ACAAACUUGGUCAUUUAGAGGAAGUAAAAGUCGUAACAAGGUUUCCGUAGGUGAACCUGCGGAAGGAUCAUUACUGAGUUAGGGUCUUAUUUGGCCCAACCUCCAAACCUUUGAGUACCUUGCAAAGCAUUGAUUUUUCCUUGUUGCUUCGGUGGGUUGAAAACACCCACCGAACCACAGGAACAACAAACUCUUUUGAAAGGUGCAGUCUGAAGUUUAGAUACUAAAUAAAUUAAAACUUUCAACAACGGAUCUCUUGGUUCCCGCAUCGAUGAAGAACGCAGC
rnacentral:misc_RNA from 1 species